GACAGAGGGUGCGAACGUUGUUCGGAAUUACUGGGCGUAAAGCGCGUGUAGGCGGCAACGCAAGUCGGGCGUGAAAUCCCACGGCUCAACCGUGGAAGUGCACUCGAAACUGCGUAGCUAGAGUCCUGGAGAGGAAGGUGGAAUGCUUGGUGUAGAGGUGAAAUUCGUAGAUAUCAAGCGGAACACCGGUGGCGAAGGCGGCCUUCUGGACAGUGACUGACGCUGAGGCGCGAAAGCGUGGGGAGCAAACAGG
rnacentral:rRNA from 1 species